AGCGAACGCUGGCGGCAGGCCUAACACAUGCAAGUCGAACGAGCCUUUCGGGGUUAGUGGCGGACGGGUGAGUAACACGUGGGAACGUGCCUUUAGGUUCGGAAUAACUCAGGGAAACUUGUGCUAAUACCGAAUGUGCCCUUCGGGGGAAAGAUUAAUCGCCUUUAGAGCGGCCCGCGUCUGAUUAGCUAGUUGGUUGAGGUAAUGGCUCACCAAGGCGACGAUCAGUAGCUGGUCUGAGAGGAUGAUCAGCCACAUUGGGACUGAGACACGGCCCAAACUCCUACGGGAGGCAGCAGUGGGGAAUCUUGCGCAAUGGGCGAAAGCCUGACGCAGCCAUGCCGCGUGAAUGAUGAAGGUCUUAGGAUUGUAAAAUUCUUUCACCGGGGACGAUAAUGACGGUACCCGGAGAAGAAGCCCCGGCUAACUUCGUG
rnacentral:rRNA from 1 species